rnacentral:rRNA from 1 species
CCUGCCCAGUGAUUAUAGAUUCAACGGCCGCGGUAUUCUGACCGUGCAAAGGUAGCGUAAUCAUUAGUCUUUUAAUUAAAGACCUGUAUGAAUGGCCAAACGAAGGCUUAACUGUCUCUCUUUUCAAGUCAGUGAAAUUGAUCUACCCGUGCAGAAGCGGGUAUUAUUAUACAAGACGAGAAGACCCUGUAGAGCUUAAAGUACAAGACUCAACUAUGUUAAACAACUCAAUAAAAAUAUAAACCUUAUAGAGUGAGACUCUACCUUCGGUUGGGGCGACCACGGAGAAAAACAAAUCCUCCCUAGUGGACUGGGAUAACUAUCCUAAAACUAAGAGAGACAUCUCUAAGCCACAGAACAUCUGACCAAACAUGACCCGGCUACAAAGCCGAAUAGCGAACCAAGUUACCCCAGGGAUAACAGCGCAAUCCUCUCCCAGAGUUCAUAUCGACGAGGGGGUUUACGACCUCGAUGUUGGAUCAGGACAUCCUAAUGGUGCAGCCGCUAUUAAGGGUUCGUUUGUUCAACGAUUAAUAGUCCUACGUGAUCUGAG